AACGCACAUUGCGCCCUAUGGUAUUCCGUAGGGCAUGCCUGUCUGAGCGUCAGCUCCCACACCCUCAAGCUUUUUUUUGCUUGGAUGACUUUGGAGAAGUAGUUGAAAUAGUACCACUCUCCAGAAAUUCAUAGGCAGUAUGGUUGCACCUGAACCAGACGUAAUAAAUCUUAUUCUUCCGUCUUUUCAAGGAGUUGAUUGUACUUGCCCUCAACCCACUCAAUAUCUUCUUGGGUGACCUCAGAUCAGGUAGGGAUACCCGCUGAACUUAA
rnacentral:misc_RNA from 1 species